UACGUAGGGUGCGAGCGUUGUCCGGAAUUAUUGGGCGUAAAGAGCUCGUAGGCGGUGUGUCACGUCGGCCGUGAAAACCUGCAGCUUAACUGUGGGCGUGCGGUCGAUACGGGCAUCACUGGAGUUCGGCAGGGGAGACUGGAAUUCCUGGUGUAGCGGUGAAAUGCGCAGAUAUCAGGAGGAACACCGGUGGCGAAGGCGGGUCUCUGGGCCGAUACUGACGCUGAGGAGCGAAAGCGUGGGGAGCAACCAGG
rnacentral:rRNA from 1 species